CAGUCGCCGCGGGAAUACCGAGGGUGCAAGCGUUAAUCGGAAUUACUGGGCGUAAAGCGCGCGUAGGUGGUUUGUUAAGUUGGAUGUGAAAUCCCCGGGCUCAACCUGGGAACUGCAUCCAAAACUGGCAAGCUAGAGUAUGGUAGAGGGUGGUGGAAUUUCCUGUGUAGCGGUGAAAUGCGUAGAUAUAGGAAGGAACACCAGUGGCGAAGGCGACCACCUGGACUGAUACUGACACUGAGGUGCGAAAGCGUGGGGAGCAAACAGGAUUAGAUACCCCGGUAGUCCCUGUCUCUUAUAC
rnacentral:rRNA from 1 species